AACGAACGCUGGCGGCAGGCUUAACACAUGCAAGUCGAACGGUUGUAGCAAUACAGCAGUGGCGCACGGGUGAGUAACGCGUGGGAAUAUGCCUUAUAGUGGGGAAUAACGUUGGGAAACUAACGCUAAUACCGCAUACGCCCGAGAGGGGAAAGAUUUAUCGCUAUAAGAUUAGCCCGCGUGAGAUUAGGUAGUUGGUGGGGUAAUGGCCUACCAAGCCGACGAUCUCUAGCUGGUCUGAGAGGAUGAUCAGCCACACUGGAACUGAGACACGGUCCAGACUCCUACGGGAGGCAGCAGUGGGGAAUAUUGGACAGUGGGGGAAACCCUGAUCCAGCCAUGCCGCGUGAAUGAUGAAGGCCUUAGGGUUGUAAAGUUCUUUCGCCGAUGAAGAUAAUGACGGUAGUCGGAGAAGAAGCCCCGGCUAACUUCGUGCCAGCAGCCGCCGUAA
rnacentral:rRNA from 1 species